rnacentral:rRNA from 1 species
GACAGAGGGUGCAAACGUUGUUCGGAAUUACUGGGCGUAAAGCGCGUGUAGGCUGUCCCGCAAGUCGGGUGUGAAAGCCCUGGGCUCAACCUAGGAAGUGCACUCGAAACUGCGGGACUCGAGUCCUGGAGAGGAAGGCGGAAUUCUCGGUGUAGAGGUGAAAUUCGUAGAUAUCGAGAGGAACACCGGUGGCGAAGGCGGCCUUCUGGACAGUGACUGACGCUGAGACGCGAAAGCGUGGGGAGCAAACAGG